UACGUAGGCAGCAAGCGUUGUUCGGAGUUACUGGGCGUAAAGAGUGCGUAGGUGGUGCCCUAAGUCUGUUGUGAAAUCUCCCGGCUUAACUGGGAGGGUGCGGUGGAUACUGUCGGGCUAGAGUGCGGAAGAGGCGAGUGGAAUUCCUGGUGUAGCGGUGAAAUGCGCAGACUAUCAGGGAGGAACACCUAUUGCGAAGGCAGCUCGCUGGGACGUAACUGAC
rnacentral:rRNA from 1 species